ACGCGAGUGUCUUCGUGAGGACGAAAUAUUUGCCAUUUGUUUCCGAGACUCUGACAGUCUGACUGAAAGUGUAUUCCAAAUUCAUACGGAAUUGCGGUGUCGAUCUACAUUUUCAGCCAUGAAAUGUAAUUGGAAUCUGGCAUAUAAUUUCACUUGGUCAAAUAAUGUGACGACGUGGGUCGAAAGUCGAAACUGCUGUCCAUUUUGCCGAAAUGUCGGCAGUUGUUAAAGCCGUACCGUACGUCUCAUCUCGUGCAGAAACACUUCAGAGCUAGUAAAUUGAUGUUCAGGUCAGAGAUUCCUUUGCUCAACUGUUGUAUUUAUUGAAAAAAUGACAAAAGUCUGAGCUUCAUGGCUGUUGUAGCAUCAACUUGGUUUUGUUGCAGCCAGCUGGUGGGAAAGGUGUGAUCAAGUCAAGUUCAGCUGCAGCUGCUUCAUGCAGUGUAUCGAGCUGUUGUUAUCCCAUUGUUACAACAGGAAGACUUCUUGAAUUGGAAUUCAUGGUCAGUUGGAGCCGUUUACGUUGUUGCAGUUGGUGUACAGUGGUUUUGCAGUCCCUUUCCAGUUGAGAGAUGUCCUGAAAUGGAGCUUAUGCAGACUUACAGUUCAACAUCAUACAUGAAUGUGUCAUUUGCCUAUGUUGGUGUUCAUUCCGUAUAUGCAGUGUUCAACAGUUGGGUAAAAUAGUCAUUGUUGACUGAUGGCUGUCGGUAUUAUUUUAUCGGUUGCAUUUUGUCGAUAUGUCGUCUCUUGCGACCUGUGCCGGCGUUGAGUUGAAUCGUUUGCUGCCGUUCCAUAGACUUGAUCCAUUGGUAAAACUGAGGAUAGGUUGCUGAAAUUCAAGACUCGUCAAUAUAAAUUAUGUAGAUGUAGAAAAAUUACAAGUGCAUAUCUGGGCUCCCUUCUUCAGUGGCCCCGUUUCCCUAAAUAAC